rnacentral:rRNA from 1 species
UACGAACUGUGCGAACGUUAUUCGGAAUCACUGGGCUUACAGGGUGCGUAGGCGGCUUGUUAAGUAGGGUGUGAAAGCCCCGGGCUCAACCUGGGAAUUGCAUUCGAGACUGCAUGGCUAGGGUGCGGAAGAGGGAAGCGGAAUUUCCGGUGUAGCGGUGAAAUGCGUAGAUAUCGGAAGGAACACCAGUGGCGAAAAGCGGCUUCCUGGUCCAGCACCGACAUUCAGGCACGAAAAGCGUGGGGAGCAAACAGG